AGCGAACGCUGGCGGCAGGCUUAACACAUGCAAGUCGAACGGGCGUAGCAAUACGUCAGUGGCAGACGGGUGAGUAACGCGUGGGAACGUACCUUUUGGUUCGGAACAACCCAGGGAAACUUGGGCUAAUACCGGAUAAGCCCUUACGGGGAAAGAUUUAUCGCCAAAAGAUCGGCCCGCGUCUGAUUAGCUAGUUGGUGAGGUAACGGCUCACCAAGGCGACGAUCAGUAGCUGGUCUGAGAGGANGAUCAGCCACAUUGGGACUGAGACACGGCCCAAACUCCUACGGGAGGCAGCAGUGGGGAAUAUUGGGACAAUGGGCGCAAGGCCUGAUCCAGCCAUGCCGCGUGAGUGAUGAAGGCCCUAGGGUUGUAAAGCUC
rnacentral:rRNA from 1 species